rnacentral:rRNA from 1 species
UACAGAGGGUGCGAGCGUUGUCCGGAAUCACUGGGCGUAAAGGGCGCGUAGGCGGCCUGAUAAGUAGGGGGUGAAAUCCUGUGGCUUAACUGCAGGGCUGCCUCCUAGACUGUUAGGCUCGAGCACGGUAGAGGCAGAUGGAAUUCCCGGUGUAGCGGUGGAAUGCGUAGAGAUCGGGAAGAACAUCGGUGGCGAAGGCGGUCUGCUGGGCCGUUGCUGACACUGAGGCGCGACAGCGUGGGGAGCAAACAGG